AUUGAACGCUGGCGGCAUGCCUUACACAUGCAAGUCGAACGGCAGCACGGGGCAACCUGGUGGCGAGUGGCGAACGGGUGAGUAAUGCAUCGGAACGUGCCAUUGAGUGGGGGAUAACGUAGCGAAAGUUGCGCUAAUACCGCAUAUUCUGUGAGCAGGAAAGCAGGGGAUCGCAAGACCUUGCGCUCUGGGAGCGGCCGAUGUCGGAUUAGCUAGUUGGUGGGGUAAAGGCCUACCAAGGCGACGAUCCGUAGCGGGUCUGAGAGGAUGAUCCGCCACACUGGGACUGAGACACGGCCCAGACUCCUACGGGAGGCAGCAGUGGGGAAUUUUGGACAAUGGGCGGAAGCCUGAUCCAGCCAUGCCGCGUGAGUGAAGAAGGCCUUCGGGUUG
rnacentral:rRNA from 1 species